rnacentral:rRNA from 1 species
UGGAUUAGGCAUGCAAGUCGAACGAGGUCCAUGCGGUGGCAACACCGCGGAAGACCUAGUGGCGAACGGGUGAGUAACACGUGAGGAACCCACCCCGAAGACCGGGAUAACCCUCCGAAAGGAGGGCUAAUACCGGAUGCCCUCACCGGAUCGCAUGGUCUGGUGAGGAAAUGGAUUUCCGCUUCGGGACGGCCUCGCGGCCUAUCAGCUUGUUGGUGGGGUAACGGCCCACCAAGGCGACGACGGGUAGCUGGUCUGAGAGGACGGUCAGCCACACUGGGACUGAGACACGGCCCAGACUCCUACGGGAGGCAGCAGCGGGGAAUAUUGCGCAAUGGGCGAAAGCCUGACGCAGCAACGCCGCGUGAGGGAUUGAAGGCUCUCGGGUUGUAAACCUCUUUCAGCAGGGACGAUUGUGACGGUACCUGCAGAAGAAGCCCCGGCCAACUACGUGCCAGCAGCCGCGGUAACACGUAGGGGGCGAGCGUUGUCCGGAUUUAUUGGGCGUAAAGAGCUCGUAGGCGGUUUGGUAAGUCGGGUGUGAAAACUCUGGGCUCAACUCAGAGACGCCACCCGAUACUGCCAUGACUUGAGUCCGGUAGGGGAGUAUGGAAUUUCCGGUGUAGCGGUGAAAUGCGCAGAUAUCGGAAGGAACACCAGUAGCGAAGGCGGUACUCUGGGCCGGUACUGACGCUGAGGAGCGAAAGCGUGGGGAGCGAACAGGAUUAGAUACCCUGGUAGUCCACGCCGUAAACGUUGGGCACUAAGUAGAGGGGUUUU